CCAGUAGGAUCAGCGACUGGGGUGAAGUCGUAACAAGGUAACCAAGUUUGAAAAGACUGCUAAUACCCUAUGAGCCCUAUGGGGGAAAGAUUUAUCGCCAUGAGAUGUGCCCGCGUUAGAUUAGCUAGUUGGUAAGGUAAUGGCUUACCAAGGCGACNAUCUAUAGCUGGUCUGANAGGAUGAUCAGCCACACUGGGACUGANACACGGCCCANACUCCUACGGGAGGCAGCAGUGGGGAAUAUUGGACAAUGGGGGCAACCCUGAUCCAGCCAUGCCGCGUGUGUGAUGACGGCCUUAGGGUUGUAAAGCACUUUCAGCAGUGAAGAUAAUGACAUUAACUGCAGAAGAAGCCCCGGCUAACUUCGUGCCAGCAGCCGCGGUAAUACNAAGGGGGCUAGCGUUGUUCGGAAUCACUGGGCGUAAAGAGUACGUAGGCGGACUGAUAAGUUAGGGGUGAAAUCCCAAGGCUCAACCUUGGAACUGCCUUUGAUACUGUCAGUCUUGANAUCNAGAGAGGUGAGUGGAACUCCNAGUGUANAGGUGAAAUUCNUANAUAUUCNGAANAACACCAGUGGCGAAGGCGGNUCACUGGCUCGNUACUGAC
rnacentral:rRNA from 1 species